rnacentral:lncRNA from 1 species
AUGAGUUGGUGAGGAAGAUCAACAUAUAGGCUUACACCAAAGUAAUAUUUACAACCUCUUCACAUGAUUGGGCUUCUCCUUGAGCCCAGUGUGCCAGAGCCUCAACAAGAAGAACCACCAGCUGAAAGUUGGGAUCCUACACCUGGUCAGAAGAGAGAAGAAGAUCAGGGUGCAGCUGAGAUUCAAGAGUACCUGACCUGGAAGCUGAUCUCCAGAAGCUGUCUCAGUCAAAGACUGGGGAUGAAUGUGGAGUUGGCCCUGGUGUCCAGGGGGAAGAUUCUGACAAAAUGAGAGCAAUUUAAAAUGCCAGAAGGAGGU